AGUGAACGCUGGCGGUAGGCCUAACACAUGCCAGUCGAACGGCAGCACAGUAAGAGCUUGCUCUUACGGGAGGCGAGUGGCGGACGGGUGAGGAAUACAUCGGAAUCUACUUUUUCGUGGGGGAUAACGUAGGGAAACUUACGCUAAUACCGCAUACGACCUACUGGUGAAAGCAGGGGAUCUUCGGACCUUGCGCGAUUGAAUGAGGCGAUGUCGGAUUAGCUAGUUGGCGGGGUAAAGGCGCAGCAAGGCGACGAUCCGUAGCUGGUCUGAGAGGAUGAUCAGCCAGCUUGGAACUGAGACACGGCCGAGACUCCGACGGGAGGCAGCAGCGGGGAAUAUUGGGCAAUGGGGGCAAGCCUGAUCCAGCCAUACCGCGUGGGUGAAGAAGGCCUUCGGCUUGUAAAGCCAUUUUGUUGGGAAAGAAAAGCAGCAGUUUAAUACCCCGCUGUUCUGACGGUACCCAAAGAAUAAGCACCGGCUAACUUCGUG
rnacentral:rRNA from 1 species